GACGAACCGUGCGAACGUUAUUCGGAAUCAUUGGGCUUAAAGGGCGCGUAGGCGGCGGCGUAAGUUGGAAGUGAAAUCCCAUCGGCUCAACCGUGGAAUUGCUCCCAGUACUGCGUUGCUCGAGGGGGAUAGGGGUCUGCGGAACUACCGGUGGAACGGUGAAAUGUGUUGAUAUCGGUGGGAACGCCAGUGGCGAAAGCGGCAGACUGGACCCUUCCUGACGCUGAGUGCGCGAAAGCUAGGGGAGCAAACGGG
rnacentral:rRNA from 1 species